ensembl:lincRNA A930006I01Rik RIKEN cDNA A930006I01 gene
CGCUAACAAAGCUUGCCUUCAAAGCCGAUUACAAGCACACAGAUAGCUCUCCUAUCAAGAUGCAAUAGAACUUCUGGGGACUUACAUAGCACUGCAUAUGGUAGCGACUUACCCUGAGCCCCUCCCAGGAGAUUCUAUGUUUUUCAAGGUUUCGGUGAUUGAAUUCCAUUUAUCAGACUUUGCAGCAAACCUCCUUACCUGUGGAGCCAUCCUGCCUGCCCUUGAGAAACUUUUGAAUUAUAAAAGUUGUCUAUGGCUUUUCAUGGAUUUUUGAUGAGGAUGCUGCUGAAUAGAGACCGGCGAGAACCAGCCUCCUUCUUCUACUCGAAGAUGCAGAGGGAACAUUUUCAAAGUUCCUCCUUUGAACUCAUUGUUCAGGAUUUUACUGUGGCUACUGAAUAGCAUAUUAUUAAUGUACCUUAUUUUUCCUAAUGUCCAAUAGUUUUGCAUAGUAAGCCAUAUGUUGAAUUUUAGCAAGUGUCAAUUUUCUCCACAUGUAUUGAGCUGACUCCUUAGGCUCCUAGACUCACAGUGGGCUCUCCCCUGACAAACCCCUUCGAAGUGGGAAGUAACACAAGUCUAAAAAUGUGUUUGAUACAUGGAAUCACUGAGCACUGUGGCUCAGGGGCAGAGUAUCCUGGGGGUUCUCAGCUGCCCCCUGGUGAUCCUGGGGUGACUGGGAUCAGCCUCAUGGCUGCUGCCUAGAGUCUUCAGUGUUUUGCUGCAUACUGCUAACCCAGGAAAGGUCAAAAUUCAAAAUGACAAGUGCAGUUUCUGCUAAAUGUGUAUUACUUUCACGCCAUCAAAAAGUUGAAAAAUCAUGGGCCUGUUUCGUUGCCGUUGAUAUACUGGUUUCCAGUAACAGGACAUGUAUAGCAUCAUGCAUCCUAGUAUCCUGGAACAAGUCAGGUUUGCACAUUGUGGAUUUUUCCCUUUACAUAUUGCUAGAGUUGGUUUAUAAAUACUUUGCUUAGCUGUUUACACCUGUGUUUACAUGUACAAUUGCCCUGUGAUUUUUUUCUCUAACCCUAUUCUUUACUGGAUUGUAGUAUUGAUAUUCUAGUUUCACAAAAUAAAGAAGGGAAUAUACCUACUUUUGCUACUUUUUGGAAAAUUUUGUACAAGAUUGACAUCAAAUCUUUAAAAAUUUAAAAAUAUCUGGUUGAGCUUAACAUUCGGUGACAAGUUUAUUUUAAAUUUCAGAUUUUCCAGUUUUAUUUUUUUUUCUUGUGCUAAUCUUGGUAAGUAACAUUUCCUUGAGGUUUAUAUUCCUCUGCAUUUUGAAGUUUAUUGGCAGCCGUUUGUGAUACCCUCACGACAUUCCGCAAAUGUCUCCAACAGACGCAAUACAGCCACUCUUCCUCUGCUGACACUAAGAGCAGGGGUUCCCCUUUUCUGUCCUGUUUUGUCUGAACAGAUUUAUUGCUUUUAUUAGUUAUUACAUUUUUAUUAUGUUUAUUUAUGAAUUGAUGAGGGGUACACCAGGCACACACGUGGAGGUUAGAGCACAGCUUUUAGGAUUUGGCUCUCUCCUACCAUGUGGGGCCAGGAGAUUGGGCUGAGGUAUUGGGAGCUGGCAACAAGCUCUUUGACUCGUCUCAGUGGCCUCUUUAUCAGUUAUUUUAAAGAACCAAAUUCUGACUUUUAAAAAUCUUCUCUAUUAUCUCUUUUUUCUUUCAGUAUUGCUGCUAACAUUCUUUUAGGGGAAGACCUAAACAAUGUCUAUCUCUCCUCUGAAGGUCCAGGCUACUGCCCAAGAUACAAUGCUACCACAGUUCAUCCUGGGGGAAGCAAGGAGUUUUUUAGGCUGCUGUACAGCGAGUGGGCAAGCUUGUGCAGGCAGGAACACGGAUGGUUCUAAAGCAGCCUCUGGGAGGUCUGCAUCCCGAGUGAUUCCCCCAUGGCUGUGUACUUGGCAUGCCACUCUUCAGGGAGUCCGUCCUUGGCUACAGAAUGCUAGCCCCUCCCUGAGGCCAUAUGCAAUCAGGGCAGAACUGUAUACAACUGGUUGAGAGGAGUGGCUGGAUACCUGGGUGAGGGCCCCUGACCCUCUCCACCCUCCUCCCAUGAAGGAGUGUCAGCAGUAAGCAUUUGCAAGUUGAGUUCAUGAAGGUGGUGGCAGUUUGCCUUGGGGGACAGUCCUGUAAGACAUUUCUUUUUCUUGAGUUUAGUGCACAUCAGGACAAGACUAUUUCACUUCUAAACUCUUCUAGAACUCCU